rnacentral:ncRNA from 1 species
AGCCGCAUAAAGUGGCGGACUUAUGCUGCACCACAGCGUACCGGAUAGAACCCGGAUAGGACUACUUUUAUAGGAGAAAACAAAUG